GACGAACGCUGGCGGCGUGCUUAACACAUGCAAGUCGAACGGAGAUCUAGAGGAAGCUUGCGAAUCUAGAUCUUAGUGGCGGACGGGUGAGUAACGCGUGGGUAACCAACCCAUAACACUGGGACAACCCUGGGAAACUGGGGCUAAUACCGGAUAACUUCUUAGGAAGGCAUCUUCUAAAGAAGAAAGGCGGCCUCUUGAAAAAGCUGCUGGUUAUGGACGGGCCCGCGUCUGAUUAGCUAGUUGGUAGGGUAACGGCCUACCAAGGCGACGAUCAGUAGCCGGCCUGAGAGGGUGGCCGGCCACACUGGGACUGAGACACGGCCCAGACUCCUACGGGAGGCAGCAGUGGGGAAUCUUGGGCAAUGGGCGAAAGCCUGACCCAGCGACGCCGCGUUGGGGAUGAAGCCCUUCGGGGCGUAAACCCAUGUUGUAGGGGACGAAGAAAGUGACGGUACCCUACGAGAAAGCCCCGGCCAACUACGUG
rnacentral:rRNA from 1 species